AUUGAACGCUGGCGGCAGGCUUAACACAUGCAAGUCGAGCGAGCGGCGGACGGGUGAGUAAUGUCUGGGAAACUGCCUGAUGGAGGGGGAUAACUACUGGAAACGGUAGCUAAUACCGCAUACCAUCAGAUGUGCCCAGAUGGGAUUAGCUAGUAGGUGGGGUAAUGGCUCACCUAGACGACGAUCCCUAGCUGGUCUGCGAGGGUGACCAGACACACUGGAACGGAGACGGGAUCCAAGCUCCGACGUGAGGCAGCGGUAGGGAAUAUUGCACAGUGAGCGCAAAGCUGAUGCAGCCAUGCCGCGUGGGUGAAGAAGGCCUUCGGGUGGUGAAGCACGUUCAGCGAGGAGGCGUUACUCGCAGAAGAAGCACCGGCUAACUCCGUGCCAGCAGCCGCGGUAAUUC
rnacentral:rRNA from 1 species